rnacentral:rRNA from 1 species
AGGGAAUCUUCCGCAAUGGACGAAAGUCUGACGGAGCAACGCCGCGUGAGUGAUGAAGGUUUUCGGAUCGUAAAGCUCUGUUGUUAGGGAAGAACAAGUGCGAGAGUAACUGCUCGCACCUUGACGGUACCUAACCAGAAAGCCACGGCUAACUACGUGCCAGCAGCCGCGGUAAUACGUAGGUGGCAAGCGUUGUCCGGAAUUAUUGGGCGUAAAGGGCUCGCAGGCGGUUUCUUAAGUCUGAUGUGAAAGCCCCCGGCUCAACCGGGGAGGGUCAUUGGAAACUGGGAAACUUGAGUGCAGAAGAGGAGAGUGGAAUUCCACGUGUAGCGGUGAAAUGCGUAGAGAUGUGGAGGAACACCAGUGGCGAAGGCGACUCUCUGGUCUGUAACUGACGCUGAGGAGCGAAAGCGUGGGGAGCGAAC